AGAAGUCCUCGUUAGGUGAGGCUCCUAUACAAACAUAGGCCACUGCCCAGAAAUAUCGAAAGAUGCCCAUGGGUAGAACAGGAACUGCCGGAUUAAGGCUUUUCUUAAGGUGGCUAAGAGCGCCGCUCUUUACGUUGUAUAGUGCCAAAACUCGACCAGGGGGAGCGGAA
rnacentral:sRNA from 2 species